rnacentral:rRNA from 1 species
UACGGAGGGUGCAAGCGUUAUCCGGAUUCACUGGGUUUAAAGGGUGCGUAGGUGGGUUGGUAAGUCAGUGGUGAAAUCCCCGAGCUUAACUUGGGAACUGCCAUUGAUACUAUCAGUCUUGAAUACCGUGGAGGUCGGCGGAAUAUGUCAUGUAGCGGUGAGAUGCUUAGAUAUGACAUAAAACACCAAUUGCGAAGGCAGCUGACUACGCGAGUAUUGACACUGAGGCACGAAAGCGUGGGGAUCAAACAGG